rnacentral:rRNA from 1 species
GACGAACGCUGGCGGCGUGCCUAAUACAUGCAAGUCGAACGAACAGUCCAGGUGCUUGCUCGUCUGACGUUAUCGGCCGUCGGGAGAGUCACAUGUGUAUAACCUACCUAUCCGACUGGGAUAAUUUCGGCAAACCGGAUCUUAUACCGGAUAAUUUAUUGCACCUCAUUGGUCAUUAGUUAAAUUCGGUUUUUCUUUCACUUAUAGCUUGAUCCGCGCCGGAUUAGCUAGUUGUUAAGGUAACGGCUUACCAAGGCAACGAUGCGUAGCCGACCUGAGAGGGUGAUCGGCCACACGGGAACUGAGAAAGGGUCAAGACUCCGAAGGGAGGCAGCAGUAGGGAAUCUGCCGCAAUGGGAGAAAGCCUGACGGAGCAAGGCCGCGUGAGUGAUGAAGGUCUUCGGAUCGUAAAACUCUGUUAUUAGGGAAGAACAAAUGUGUAAGUAACUAUGCACGUCUUGACGGUACCGAAUCAGAAAGCCACGGCUAACUACGUG